AUUUGCCUUAUUACCUCAGAUAGGUGUUGCUGAGUGACUGGACAGAUUUCUUCUGCUUUCAGUCUCUUUUCAUGGGUCCUUCAGAAUGAGUUUUGGAAAGGAGAAAAACAAAAAGAGACCAGAAGGAACUGAGAAGCUCAAAGCAUCAAAGGACACAGCAAUAUGAGAGGCCAACAACUGAUAUACAAGCCACACCGAGAAGAUUGCCAUUUGCAAGAGAGCUAUUAAUGAAAGUCACACACCUGAAGCUCUAAAAGCAGCCCAGGGAAUGGGGAAAAUUCCCUGUCUCCAAAACAGGAGAUGAAGCCACUGUGAAGCCAAUAGCAAAAAAGUGAUCAGGCCAGAAAUCCUGCUGACUCAGGAAAUUCUAUUCUGCCGUUAGACGAAGCUAAAUAUCAGAGCACCUACUCUGCCGUAUAUUCUUAAUAGGGUUCCUGUACUUAGCUAUGUAACAGCCUAUGGGGUUUAACUCAUUCGCUAAAGAAACAUAUUGAAUGAGGACCCUGGGCCAAAGCACCACAUAUAGUCGUCCAUCGGUAAAGUGGGGCAUAAGUGGGGAUUGGUCAUAGAUUUGGGGAUUCAAAGGUGCUCAAAUCUCUUAUACAAAGUGAUGUAAUGAGUAAGAAGGAACUAAGCGCACACAUUCUCUGAGCACCUGCCACGCGCAAACACAGUGCUAAAUGCUUCCACAUGUAUUAUCUUUUUAAAAUGACUUUUUUUUUUAGAUAAGAUCUUGCUCUGUCACCCAGACUGGAAUGCAGUGAUGUGAUCACAACUCACUGCAGCCUUGACCUCCUAGGCUCAAGCAAUCCUCCCUCCUCAGUCUUCCAGGUAGCUGGGACUACAGGCUCGCACCAUCACAUCUGGCUAAAUUUUUUCUUUUUUGUAGAGGUGGGGUCUCACUAUGUUGCCCAGGCCCGUAGACUUUAUUUAUUAGAGUAGUUCUAGGUUCACAGUAAAAUUAAGCUGAAGGUGAGGAAAUUUUCGAUACACCUCCUGCCCCCAACACAUGCACAGUUUCCCCCAUUAUUAUCAACCCCCACCAGAGCGGUACAUUUGUUGCAGUCAAUGCACCUACACUGACACACUGAUCUUAUUUAGACCUUAGUUCCAGCGUCUCUGGAAGAGUGGCAGUUUUCUCAUUGGCUGACCCUAUUGCCUGGUCUCGCUGCUCGGUGCAAAGGCCUUUAGAAAUUCUCUGCUUUGACUGACUGGCUAACAAGUGGAGAUUUGUACCCGAAGCAUCGAAUCUGUAUAGGAAUCAAGCACAUGGAAAAAUCUUUGAUUCCUCCAGUGUCUUGGAUCUCAAGGAAAGCUCCAGCCUCAGCCUUGGUGGAGGCAGCAGCCCCGGGCUCAGAGAAGGAAGGUAUUCAGAUGACAGGAUUCAGACAUCUCAGGAUGACCAAAGAGUAUCCAACCAUUCACCAAGGAGCAGAAGCUUCCCUAUCACUGACAGACAGUACUUCCUGCGGUGUCCCCAGCAUCCCCCAGAAACUGUGGACAAGGCACAAGAAGAAGUCUGAAUAUGUGAAAGCCAGCAACAGCGCCUUUGAGGCCGACUAACGGUGACCCUCCCCGGGUACCCUGCACUGGCUGAGGUUGACUAGACAAGGGGAGAAGGGCCAGGACUGGAGCUGAGCCACACUCAUUUCUGCUAGCAGCUUGGUGCAAACAUAUCAUCCUCUCUCACUAACUGAUCACCCUGCCUUAGGACACAGAAAAGGAACAUCCCUUGAAGGCAAAAUGAAACUGUUCCUUCUUAGAACUGCUAAAGCUGUUGGCCAGAAAGUGACUUUGAGAGGUCAUAAAGUUUAUAUCUCUAUCUUCAAGCAAAAUCACACCUACAUGGAACUUUCCCAGCCUAAAGACCUCCAAGGAAGGAAGGCGACAACUCCCCCGUCUUCCUUGUGAGUUGCUGGUGUUCUAGGGUGUGUAACUUUCUGGUCUUACUGUAAGAGCUUGACCCUGAGGCACUUAUAAACACAUGGUUCUUACCGUUCCUAUUAUCGCAUUUAUUUCACCUUGAUGAGGUAUACUUUUUAAGGAACAAGCAUAUAUCAACUUAGUAGUUCUAGUAUCUACUGAAGAGUACCAUCAAGAUUGAUUGUGAUGGUCAUUUGGCAUGACUGCAUGAAUUCUUUAUUCUUUUAUGUGCAGUUUUUCUAUAGAAAAACACUGAAAGUUAAAAGUUGAAAAAAAUAAAACCAUGUAGCAUUUGCACAUAACAUAUUUACAUCUUCCCAUAUACUUUAAGUCAUCUCUAGGUUUCGUAUAAUACCUAAUACAAUGUAAAUGCUAUGUAAAUAGUUGUUAUACUACAUGAAUAAAUAAUGACAAGAAACAGAUGUCCAUACAUGUUCAGACACAACAUUCUUCCACAUAUUUUGAUCUGAGGUUGAUUGAAUGCAUGAUGCAGAACCCAUAGAAACAGAGAGCUAAGUGUAUUAGAAUUUUUCUCCUGGCUUCCAUAAAGCACACCUGUAGGCAAUCACAGUCUAGGGUACAAGAAAGUCCAGUUUUGCCGUUUAAUAGGUGUGUGACUUUAAGAAGGGCAAUAAUAAUUCCAGUUCCCACUCAGCUAAGUAUAACCUACCAUCCAGGUCACAUUUACUGCCUACUUACUGUCUUUCCAAAACUGUCUAAGCCCCUUCUAACCACUAAAUGUUGGUGAGGUAUUCCAUGAGGUAAUGAUGCAGUGAGGCACAGAGAUGUUAAAAUAACUUGCCCAAGGUGACACAGAUAGAAGCAAAUCAGACUAUCCAAUUCAAGGGCACACUCCAACCACUAUGCUGCACUGCCUCUGGUAACACAGAAUAUCCUUUAAGAGAAGAACAGGGCCAAGUACAAUGGCACCCCUGUAGUUCCAGCUAUUUGGGAGGCUGAGGGAGGAGGAUUGUUUGAGGCCAGGAGUUGAAGGCUGCAGUGAGCUAUGAUGGCGCCUGGGAGUAGUCACUACACUCCAGCCUGGGCAACUGAGCAAGACCCCGUCUUUAAAAAACAAAAAUAAAGAGGUCAGGUAAGUGAGUCUCCCCCUCCCAACUUCACACUUCUCACUCUCCUGAAAUUCUUCAGGAGAUCCUAAUCAACCACAUAAAACAAGCAAAGUGUAGAGAUUAUGUAAAAUGUUUAUUUUUCUUUCCAUGCCCUUUUCUCCCCAUUGAGUUUCAUGGAGAUCUGUGUGACUAUGGGAGGCCUCCAGAGAUUCAGCAAUGGUAAGAAAAUAUGAGCACAUUUUAAAAGAGGAGGGAAGAAGGAGGGAGGAUUCCUCCCAAGAGAGUGGUGGCAACUUUACAACUUGAAAAUGUCUGUGAGCCUGGCUUAAAUUUUUAUGACACAUCUCUACCACACUGGCAGGGGGUGGGGGGUUGGGGACUUGGGUUGUCUUGGAUCAAGACCCAGUGCUGAGGUAAGCAAUGUAGCCAGACUGGCUUGAUCAGCUCCUUGUAAUCUCCCUGGCGAGGGAUGUUUGUCAACUGGAGACCACACCCACUAAAGAGAACUAAUUAGGUUCUAGGGGCAACCACUAAGGUCAUCAUUAUUACCAGGUGAGAUCAGUUUCCCAAACAUUCCGAUCUUAAGACUUGCAUGGGGUGAUUAGGAAGACUGCUCCUUCAGAACCACUGUACCAGAAUCUUCAGGCAGCCCUAGAAAUCUGAAACCAGGUAAUUCUUGACAGACAAGUUUGGGAAACACUAUUUAGAUCAUGACAUUACAGUAUCUAAAAAGAUCAAGAAGGGUCUUCUAGGUAGGGUGUCCUCCUUUCAAGCAAUUCUCUGUCUAAUCCAGGAGGAGAAGACUAUUUUCUAUACAUAAAAGUCUCCAGAGAACUGGCUUCCAAAAUUUCCUUUCAGUAUACAUAAGAGUCUCAAGUCUGCAGAGCUUUGUGGUCCCUCUCAAAUAGCUCAGGCAAAGGUUAAAUCUCCAUCCUUCUUCCAACCAGAUAUUUAAAAAACAAUAUUUGUUACACAAGUCAUCAUACUGAAAGUUUUGUUAACUCACUUUGGAAAAUACGUGAGGGCCUAGAACUGUGCUAAGCCCUCUGGUGCUCUGUUUAAGAUAAAGAACUUCACUUAUUUCAAAGGUCAGGAAGAAGAAACAGAAAAGACAACCCACAGAAUGAGAGAAGCUAUUUGCAAAGCAUAUAUCUGAUAGGAGACUUCAACCCAGAAUAUAAAAACAAUGCUUAAAAUGUAAGAGUAAAUAGACAAAUAAUAUAAUUUAAAAACGGUCAAAGGAUCUGAAUAGACACUUCUCCAAAGAAAAUAUACAGAUGGCCAAUGAUAUGGUUUGGCUUUGUCCCCACCCAAAACUCAUCUUGAAUCGGAACUCCCACAAUUCCCAUGUGUCGUGUGAGGAAGCCGGUGGAAGGUAAUUGAAUUACCGGGGUGAGUCUUUCCAAUGCUGUUCUCUUGAUUGUAAUAAGUCUCAAGAGAUCUGAUGGCUUUAAAAAUGGGAGUUUGCCCACACAAGCUGUCUCUUUGCCUGCUGCCAUACAUGUAAGACAUGACUUGAUCCUUCUUGCCUUCCACCAUGAUUGUGAGGCCUCCCCAGCCAUGUGGAACUGUAAUUCCAUUAAACCUCUUUCUUUUGCAAAUUGCCCAGUCUCAGGAACGUCUUUAUCAGCAGUGUGAAAAUGGACGAAUACGAGCCAAUAAGCACGUGAAAAUAUAUUCAUCAUCAUUAGUCAUUAGAGAAACGAAAAGCAAAACCACAAUGAGAUACCACCUCACACCCACUAGAAUGGCUACAAAACUUGUAUGCUUGUGUUCAGAAUGGCAUUAUUCCUAACUGUCAAAAGUGGAAACAACCCAUCAACUGAUGAACGGAUAAAUAAAAUGUGACCCAUCUAGUCAAUGGCAUACUAUUCAGCAAUAACAAGGAAUGAAGUACUAACACAUGCUACUUCAUGGAUGAGCACUGAAAACAUGAGGAAAAAGCCAGCUACAAAAGGCCACAUUUUGUAUUGUUUCAUUUACAUGAUAUGUGCAGAACAGCAAAAUCCAGACUCAGAAAAUAGAUUAGUGGUUGCCUGUGAUGAGGGAUAGGAGCAAUGGGGAGAGGUGGCAACUCAUGGGUCUGGAAUUUUUGGGGUUUUUUUGUUUUCUUUUGAGACAGGGUCUCAUUCUGUCACUCAGACUAGAGCACAGCGAUGCAAUCACGACACACUGCAUGCAGCCUCAACCUCCUGGGCUCAAGCAAUCCUCCUGCCUCAGCCUCCUGAGUGGCUGCGAUUACAGGCACACAUCACCAUGCUCAGCUAAUUUUUAAAUUUUUUUGCUAUUAAAGGGGUCUCACUCUAUGUUGCCCAGACUGGUCUCAAACUCCUGAGCUCAAGAGAUCCUCCUACCUUGGCUUCCCAAAGUGCUGAGAUUACAGGUGUGAGCCACUGUGCCUGGCCUGGGCUGUUUUUGAAGUGAUGAAUAUGCUCUAAAAUUGACUAUGGUGAUGGGUGCACAACUCCAUGAACAUACUAAAAAUCAAUGAGUGUACACUUUAAAUGGGUGAAUCGUAUAGUAUGUGAAUAUCUCAAUAAAGUUGUUUAAAAAAAGGAUCCCAUUUAAUCUCCAUGAGCCUCAAUUUCACCCUCUGAAAAUGGAGACACCACCUACCUUUCAAUACUAUAAAGGAUAUAUAGGCCAGGUGCGGUGGCUCCCAGCACUCUGGGAGGCCGAGGCAGGCGAAUCAUGACGUCAAGAGAUUCAGAUCAUCCUGGGCCAAAAUGGUGAAACCCGUCUCUAUUAAAAAUACAAAAAUUAGCUGGGUGUGGUGGCACGUGCCUGUAAUCUCAGCUACUCGGGAGGUGGAGGGAGGAGAAUCACUUGAACCCGGGAGGCGGGGGUUGCAGUGAGCCGAGAUCACGCCAUUGCACCCCCGGCCUGGGUGACAAGAGCGAAACUCCAUCUCAAAAAAAAAAAAAAAAAAAGAAUAUAUAAAUACAUACAGAUGCAUGCAUGUACACACUCACACAUACUAUGUUUCACAUAGUACCUAGCCCAUAAUAAAUACUAAAUAGAUGUCAUUCUUUCUCCUCUUCCUAUCCCCACGCUUUUGUAUUGUUAUGCCUUGAUACUGUGGUUCCACCACAAAUUACAAAACUCAAAAUUAAAAUGUAUUUCAACAGAGGUCUAACCAUGAGAAUUUCACACUGCUAUCCUCAAGACUACUCCUACAUGGCUAACUCUGAAGAAAUCCUGGAGCCUGCGAAUGUGACUGUCUACCUUCCAGACUUGUCACUACAGAGUAUUUGGGGAUAAAGAGUAAGACCUUUUUCCUCUGUUCCACUGCCUUAUUAGAAUGUUCCUUAUUUCUAACCACUGGACACGGGCACCUUCACUUACCUAUCUUUAAAACUCAGCACAAUCCUUGCCAAUACAGAUGCUAUUCAGACAUUUUUCCUGUCAAUUUCAUCUACAAUGAAAAUCAACUGGGCCUCCAAGACAGCUCUGCAGGUGUCCCCAAAACACCUUAGCUUUGAUAUAUAGC